rnacentral:ribozyme from 1 species
UACCCAGCAACCCCUAUCCCUACCUCCUCGUGGUACCGGCCGGAAACUACGAGCAACCUUAGUGUAGAUCGAACCCUGGUGGGAACUUUGGUCGUUGGCUAACAAGGAAGA